rnacentral:rRNA from 1 species
AGUGAACGCUGGCGGCAGGCCUAACACAUGCAAGUCGAGCGGCAGCGGGUUCCCGCGAGGGGAUGCCGGCGAGCGGCGGACGGGUGAGGAACACAUCGGAAUCUGCCUGGUUGUGGGGGAUAACGUAGGGAAACUUACGCUAAUACCGCAUGCGACCCUGAGUCGACGGACUGGGGGUGAAAGUGAGGGACCUUCGGGCCUCACGCGACCAAAUGAGCCGAUGUCGGAUUAGCUAGUUGGCGGGGUAACGGCCCGCCAAGGCGACGAUCCGUAGCUGGUCUGAGAGGAUGAUCAGCCACACUGGGACUGAGACACGGCCCAGACUCCUACGGGAGGCAGCA